rnacentral:misc_RNA from 1 species
CAAUGUUUUUUCCUUAGUAGUUCAACGUUUUGUUCUAAUCACGCCUGAAAAUCUCCUUCCAAGCUGGAACAUUUACAAUUUACACUCGUGGAUUUUACUAAACCGUUACAGAUUGCGGACAGAAAUUAUAGAUAUAACUGGGAUAAUUGUUGGUCGAGUGUGCAACUGUUUCAAAGACUUUGUGUGGAUGGCAAACAAAAGCUGGUCAUGAUGAAAUAUAGUCCGUUCAGAUUUGUUGACUGCUUUAUCUAUGCAAUGCUGUUCACGUUUUUCGCUAUUUUCGGUGGAUGCAAGAGGACAAAUUCCGGCUUUGGUGGGCUGGGCUUAAAUGAUACUCGUGUAUCUGAUAAUCAGGAUCCACCAUUGUGUAGCCAUUUUCUUCUCUCCUGUUAGUGCUUUGCGGUGUAUUCCAAGGCUGUACUUUUGUUUUCCCGAAAAUGCACCACAGAAGAUUGCCUGCAAAAUAAGCUCCAGCCGAUAUGAAGAACACAAUCCUCCAUUGUGCGGGAUCUCGCUGUGAAGGAUCGGAAAAUUUGAAUUAAAAUAAAGUAG